CCUACGGUAGGCAGCAGUGGGGAAUAUUGGACAAUGGGGGGAACCCUGAUCCAGCGACGCCGCGUGAGUGAAGAAGUAUUUCGGUAUGUAAAGCUCUAUCAGCAGGGAAGAAAGACAUGACGGUACCUGACUAAGAAGCCCCGGCUAACUACGUGCCAGCAGCCGCGGUAAUACGUAGGGGGCAAGCGUUAUCCGGAUUUACUGGGUGUAAAGGGAGCGUAGACGGCGAUGCAAGUCUGAAGUGAAAGGCGGGGGCCCAACCUCCGGAUUGCUUUGGAAACUGUAUGGCUGGAGUGCAGGAGAGGUAAGUGGAAUUCCUAGUGUAGCGGUGAAAUGCGUAGAUAUUAGGAGGAACACCAGUGGCGAAGGCGGCUUACUGGACUGUAACUGACGUUGAGGCUCGAAAGCGUGGGGAGCAAACAGGAUUAGAUACCCGGGUAGUC
rnacentral:rRNA from 1 species